UACGUAGGCAGCAAGCGUUGUUCGGAAUUACUGGGCGUAAAGAGUGUGUAGGCGGUGCUCCAAGUCUGGUGUGAAAUCUCCCGGCUUAACUGGGAGGGUGCGCUAUAGACUGCGGGGCUCGAGUGUGGGAGAGGAAAGUGGAAUUCCUGGUGUAGCGGUGAAAUGCGCAGAUAUCAGGAGGAACACCGGUGGCGAAGGCGGGUCUCUGGGCAGUAACUGACGCUGAGGAGCGAAAGCGUGGGGAGCAAACAGG
rnacentral:rRNA from 1 species